UUGUGUCUGGGACUUUCGAUUUUCGCUUCCCCUCUCUCUCAUUCGCUCGCUGUCCAUCUUCGCCUUGUUAAUUACCCUGCCUGGCUCGCGAGAAGGUCGGUCUGCCCGCCGUCCUCUGCAUCUGCGCUCUGUCCUUACUCCUUCCUCGCCGGCCUCCUCCGAUCAUCCGCUCAGAUUGACUCCGUGCGCCUAACUCUUCGGAGUGCCGGCGAUGCCCAGCGGGGAAACUGGUGAACGAACUCAAUCUGUGAUGCCUUUCCAAAUUUUGAACUGGAGACCUCAUGUACUUUCCUAGUUUUGUCAUCGAAGAGCAAUGCCAGACAUUAGUAAAGAAGGCUAAAUCUAGGCUUAGGCCAUCAGCAUUGUCUUUAUGGAAGGGAGAAGCCAAGGAGAGUACUAAAGGAUAAGAACAAGGCAUUUAAUGUCCUUAGGUACAAGAUAGGGUAGAGGUUUGCUUGUCGCUAUGAUGCAUUCAACUCUGCUGAAUAUGAGCUACAAAAAAGUCAAAGAUUUGUCACAUUGGAGGAAGUUAGAGCAAUGGACCAGGGAAUUAGUAUUCACAAACUUUAUGGUUUCGAUGAUAGCAGUAUUUAAAUACUAUCCGUAUUCUGAUUUACGCUCAUGGCAAAUCAAAUCACAUACAAGAGAAUUCUCAUCACGGCAGCUGCCCUGUGCUCAAGGGAGAGACAUGGGCUGCAACAAAGUGGAUGAGAGGUAAUAUUGAUAAGUAAAUAAGGUUGUGAUUCCGGGAGUAAUGGAGGUGUAAUAGUUAUGUUGAGAUGGAGAUCAAAAUCCGUGGUCAGACGGACGACCGACUCAACUUGGUCUCCCCAACCCGAUGCCCGACGCAUUGGUAGUCAAGCAUCUGUCACACGCUCAGAUUAAAUUAAUAAUUUUUACUCAACUGAACCCCUUAACCUACAUUAAGGUAGUAUAGUAGAAGACCGAGUCAUUUCUCACGUGAAACUAAUGAUAAUACAUUUGUUUUCAGAUAAAAUCAAAUUAGGGAUUUGUUUUUGAGGAUUUCUAUAUCUAAUGCAACAAAAAAAAUUCUAACUAAUAAACAACUAUAAAUCUAUAGUACAUUGUCACUCUAUACUAUGUAUAACAUCAUCAAUAUAAAUAAUAUGAGAGAAAUAAAACUAAAAUCCUAUCUAACUAUCGAAGGCAAACUUGUGCCACAUUAUCACCCUGCGACAAAAGAAUAUCUAUCAAUAUACAUAACAUAAAAACAUAACAAAUAGCUCAAACAUGUAUAAGAGAAAAACAAUAAUAAAACAAAUGCAAUUAAAUUAAACAAACUUAACAGCUAUUAAAUAAAACUUAAGUACGCAUAAUUGAUAAAUCUACACCACAUUGUCACCCUAUGAUACAAGUUUAGCAAUCAUGCAUAAAACCAACCAAAGUUAACAAAACCUAACAAAGUGCAAGACUAAAAAAUCUAACAUUCAUCGUAACAUAACUACAAAAUCAAAUGUGAAAAAUGAACUAAGUUAACCAAACUCUCUCUUCCACGAUCAACUCCAAUCCGACUACUCGUCGCCGUCGCACGAAGAGCCCCAAUCUGAACCACCAGAGCCGGUGGACAGCAGCAAGACACCAGCGGUGCUUGCGUCAACAACAACAACAACAAUGAACGAGUCUUCCACCGAAGAACCCCUCCAAUGGAAGUUG